UGCGUAGGCGGACCUUUAAGUCAGUGGUGAAAGUUUGCAGCUCAACUGUAAAAUUGCCAUUGAAACUGAAGGUCUUGAGUGUAAAUGAGGUAGGCGGAAUGUGUUGUGUAGCGGUGAAAUGCUUAGAUAUAACACAGAACACCAAUUGCGAAGGCAGCUUACUGGGAUACAACUGACGCUGAGGCACGAAAGCGUGGGGAUCAAACAGGAUUAGAUACCCUGGUAGUC
rnacentral:rRNA from 1 species